GAUGAACGCUGGCGGCGUCCCUAAUACAUGCAAGUCGAGCGAACAGAUAAGGAGCUUGCUCCUUUGACGUUAGCGGCGGACGGGUGAGUAACACGUGGGUAACCUACCUAUAAGACUGGAAUAACUCCGGGAAACCGGGGCUAAUGCCGGAUAACAUUUAGAACCGCAUGGUUCUAAAGUGCACGAUGGUUUUGCUAUCACUUAUAGAUGGACCCGCGCCGUAUUAGCUAGUUGGUAAGGUAACGGCUUACCAAGGCAACGAUACGUAGCCGACCUGAGAGGGUGAUCGGCCACACUGGAACUGAGACACGGUCCAGACUCCUACGGGAGGCAGCAGUAGGGAAUCUUCCGCAAUGGGCGAAAGCCUGACGGAGCAACGCCGCGUGAGUGAUGAAGGUCUUCGGAUCGGAAAACUCUGUUAUUAGGGAAGAACAAAUGUGUAAGUAACUGUGCACGUCUUGACGGUACCUAAUCAGAAAGCCACGGCUAACUACGUG
rnacentral:rRNA from 1 species